CCUACGGGAGGCAGCAGUAGGGAAUCUUCCACAAUGGGCGAAAGCCUGAUGGAGCAACGCCGCGUGGGUGAAGAAGGUCUUCGGAUCGUAAAACCCUGUUGUUAGAGAAGAAAGUGCGUGAGAGUAACUGUUCACGUUUCGACGGUAUCUAACCAGAAAGCCACGGCUAACUACGUGCCAGCAGCCGCGGUAAUACGUAGGUGGCAAGCGUUAUCCGGAUUUGUUGGGCGUAAAGGGAACGCAGGCGGUCUUUUAAGUCUGAUGUGAAAGCCUUCGGCUUAACCGGAGUAGUGCAUUGGAAACUGGGAGACUUGAGUGCAGAAGAGGAGAGUGGAACUCCAUGUGUAGCGGUGAAAUGCGUAGAUAUAUGGAAGAACACCAGUGGCGAAAGCGGCUCUCUGGUCUGUAACUGACGCUGAGGUUCGAAAGCGUGGGUAGCAAACAGGAUUAGAUACCCUAGUAGUC
rnacentral:rRNA from 1 species